UAUCUUAGCCGUUGUGAUGAAAUAUAUGUAAUGACUAAUGGUCGAAUAGAUGCUCAAGGCAGUCAUGAAUCUUUAUUGCAAUACAAUGUAUACUAUGCAAUGAAAAUUAAUGUUACUGUUAACAAUAACUCUGCUCUAUUGCCGUAUGAUAAAUCUCGUUCUAUUGAAGAAGUUAGUAACCUUUCCUGUAUUUCUUUUGUCAAUGCGAAAAUAUUUAGUACUAUUACUUUCUUCAUAACCGUGAUAAUGAUAUGUUUAAUUCUCUAUGAAGAAAUAAAACGACUAAUUCAGUACAUCUUCGAUUUUGAUGACGUUGAAUUAUAAUUUUCUCUGGCGCUUAUCUGAAGCGCGCAUGUCUUUCAUAAAAUUCAAAUUUUUAUAAUUUUCUUCACCCAAUAGUUUAUUAGUAUUCAUUUAUUACUUAUAGAAAUUUCAUAUCUUCUUUAUUCUUAAAGUCAUAUAUUAAUUAAUCUUAACUACGACAUGAUAAACAUAUGGAAUAUUAAGCCGAAAUUAAAAGUAUUUUAGUCACGAUAAACAAGGAUAAUAACAAUUUAGUUAAGUUCGGCCAAUACUGACCACAGUAAGAAAAGUCCUUGAAAUUUAUAGUCACAAUAAGUUAAAAUAAUUAUAACUGUAUUUGUAAGUGAUUUAACUCCAUUAGAAUAAUAUGUGUUAAUUAAUAUGUUAAAAUAAAUUUUCUACUGAAAUUUUUGAAAUAAUUAUUAACUAAAAUACAAGUACAAGGUAUAUUCUUAAAUUGUGAUUAUUAAUAUAAAACAAUCCAUUUUUCGAGUUCAAACCCAUAUGAGAAUGGAUGAAGGUGAAUGAGGAUGGAUGAGUAUGACACAGCUUUAGGGUUACCAGCUUUAUUUUUUCCUAAUACCGGAGAUCUUACUAAUAAUUUGGACGAUAAUAUUUUAAUUGAAUCAGAAAAAAAAGCUCAUUGCUUGCAAUAUAAGAGUUGCUCGACUAUUUGCUAUACUCCGAGAAAACGGAGGGAAAUCUACACAUAAUCAUUUUUAUUUCUAUCAUUUUUUGUAUCACCACGAAAAAAUAAAGCCUUUGACGAGUUACUUUAGAGUAUCACCGCGUAAAUUAAAUUAUCAAACAAAAAUUUCACAAAUAAAAUCACCUAAAAAAAAUAACUCAUCGAAAUUAACUAUGAUUGCAAAAAAAUUGUCAGCUCUAAAAACUCGAAUUUAUUAGAUAAUGAUGUGAUAAUGAAGACGAUAAACAAGAUAACACACGUACUAACAAUAUUAGUGAACAUACUGAAGAUGAUAAUACAGUAAAAACAGAAACGACCGAACAGAAAUGGGAUACUUGGAAGAGUAAAUUAAAAUGUCGUGAAAAUAAACCCGUUAAUAAAAAAGUACACACACGAAAGAAACUAUUGAGAAUAAAAAAUCAUUAUGGAACAUUAUUGCUGAGAAUGAAAAUGAGAAAGAUAGGCUUCGAGUUGAAUCAACAAAAAAAACGAUUAAUUGGUCUU